rnacentral:lncRNA from 1 species
AGUUCAGUCUUAUCUUUCUAGCUAAAGUUGCUUCUUAAGAAGAAGAGAUUUUCUUCAUUUUGUGUGUCUCUCGUCAUUCUCAGCUCUUCCCUACAACAUCAAGCAAAGUGUAGGACAAUCAACCAGCAGAAAAGGGGGGAAAAAGCUUAUUCUGUGGACUGAAUGUUUUUGCCUCCCCCCAAAAAAGUCAUAUGUUGAAGCCUAACCUCCAGUGGGAUGGUAUUUUGAGGUGGGACCUUUGGGAGGUAACUAGGUCAGGAGGUGGCGCUCUCACGGCGGGGACUGUGCCCUUACAAGAGGACGCGUGGGGGAGAAGUUUCCUCCAGGAUGUGAGGGCACAGAGAGAACACAGCUGUCUGCAAACCAGAACAAGAACCCUCCCCAAGAACGCAGUCAGUCCACACCUCAAUCGUGGACUCUCCAGCCUCCUGAAUUUUGAGCAAUAACUAUUUGUUCUUUUAGCCGCCAGUCUGUGGUUUUCUGUUAGAGCAGCUCAGAUGGACCAAGUCCAAAUUCUAGGACUGUGAAGGGGGACAGAACCACAUAACACCAAACACCCAGAAAUGAUCAGAAAACCAAAGAGCAGAGCGAUGAGGUGGUCCUAGUUGGGCAGGAACUGUGUCCUGAAGGAAUACCCAGGAUGCCCAUGGUUGGUAAUGAUGGAAUGUUAUACACGUAGACCUUUUUUCCAGACCACUUUCCCAUUGCCGUUCAGUUUCCCAUGUGUUUGUUUCAGUGCUUGAGGGUGGAAUCCAGACAGUCCUUCCCUCCGCUGAGCGAAUAGAUCUGAGAUUCGCUCCAGAGCCAAGGGCAUGGAGUGUUGUUCCCUGACGGGCUGCACACAUCCCGGAGCCUCUGUUCUCAUGGGCUUUCCAGAGAAACGAGAUGCCUGGCUGGUCAUCCCCAUCUUCUCUUUUUCCUGGGCAGCUCACUGAUAUCAUACAUUGUUAGUUACGACUCUCACCUCUGUGAGCUCUCGUGUAAAUUUCUGGCUCUGAUGGCAUCCCCUGGUUUGGGUUUAGCCUCUCCCACCCUCCUUAGUGCUCUGGCUCUUGAUGGUUUAAAAUCAUUGUUCAGUUGUUAUAAAUGCCCGCUUGACUCAGCAGUUCUUCAUCCAUGGUCUCUCCUUGGAAUCUUCAGUUCUUACCACGGCCUUAGCGCCUGGGGUGUCAUUUCUCACUCCCUGAGAUAUUCCUCUCUGCUCUUUGUUUCCAGAGUCCAACGGGUAGAACCAUUGUGUUUGGCCAGGAGCCUGACACUCGUCCUCCCCCCGUCCUUCUUCCUAAGACGGUUCCUUUAUCACGAGUUGAGAUUCUGACCCAUCCUUGUGUCUGCACCAGGAUAACGUGAACCUGACCUGUACUGGUGUUGCUAGGUGUCGCUGUCAUCGACACUUACGGUUUAAUGGCACUGGCUUCAGGCUUAAGCGUGGAUUCUGUCCUCAUCUUAUCUCCUACACCCUUAUCCUGCAUAUAGUGGCCUUCGUGACAGCACCUGCGAGCUGACUGUGGGGACAGGGCACCUGUGUUUCUCACCUCCGCACGGUUCUUAUCUUCUCUAUGCACCUGGUUUUCAGGUCUGUGGCUGCCUGGGGCCUUCUCUGCUCUAUCCCAUGGUUUAUAGUGUGAGAUCCGCCUAGAUCUUUAAAAGGCAAAACACACUAAUGUUAUUUGCAAGUAGCCCAGAUAAGCCCCUGAGUGAAAAGGAAGAAUUCCUAGGGAAGGUACACUAUUAUUCGAUGAAGAAGGAAUACCAUUCCUGAGAAGAAAGUAUUUUCAUAAUUGCCUUUAUUUACCUCAAAGUAUGUAACUGAUUUUGUAGAAAAACCCGUGGGAUUGAACACAUAUAUAAUUAACUUUUUAAAAUAGCAUCAAAAAGGCUGAUUCUGUCACCUUUUCGCAAAAUAUGUUUUAUUUAAAAGUGUAUCCGAUAUUUAUAGAUUAGGAUGCUGUUAUAAAAUGUAUUAGAUCCUUUUUACUUUUUCCAAUUUCCCCAGUGGUUUCAUUUUGCACAACUAUAAUAUACUAUCACUCGCUAAUCGUCUUUAGACCUUCCUACUCUCACCUGUUCCCCUGUGUAUAUGUGUUUGUGCAUAAGGCCCAUUAAUUUUAUCACCUGUGUAGGUUUAUGUCUUCCCCAAUAUAUGAGACAGUUCUAACACAAAAUUUCCCCCCUUUCCCCUUUUAUAACCACCCCUACCUCUUCUUGCUCCUGUCCUUUGGACCUAAGGCUUGGCCACCAAUAACCUGUCCUCCGUUUCUAAAGGUUUCCCAUUACAAAGGUGUUAUAUGGACUUCUCAUCUUAGCUCAGUGGUUAAGGAACCUGACUAGUAUCCAUGAGGACUCAGGUUCGAUCCCUGGCCUUACUCAGUGGGGAAUCUAAGCAUCCGGCAUUGCUGGGAGCUGUGGUGCAGGCUGCAGACGUGGCUCAGAUCUGCAGUGCUGUGGCUGUGGUGUAGGCCUGCAGCUCUGAUUUGACCUCUCGCCUGGGAACCUCCAUAUGCCACAGGUGCAGCUCAAAAAGACCUAAAUAAAUAAAUACUUUUUUUUUUUUUUUGAAAAAAAGUGUUACACAAGUAGAGUUAUAUAGUAUGUAACCUACUAGGAUUAGAUUUUUUCAUCAGUGCAGUGCCCUUGGGUUCAUUCAAGUUGGUGCUUGUAUCAAUACUUUGUUCCUUUGCAUUUCAGAGUAAUAUUCCAUGUUAUGUAUAUAGCACUGUUUAUUUAGAUCACUUACCUAUUGAAGGACAUUUUAGCUAAUUCCCUUUCGGGGUUAUAAUCUCCACAACUGUGAGAAUACAAAUUUCUGUUUGUAAAACUACUCAGUCUGUGAUCUUUUCAUAUGACAGCCCUAGAACACUAAUACAAGAGGUAUAACUGUGUUCUGAAAUGAAUGCCUUGUUAAAAGUGAAGAUGCAAUUUUAAUUAAUGAAGGAAUAGAAAAAUUCGGAAUCUGAGUCAAAAACUUUUCCUAAAGACAAGGAUAUGUGAAAAUUCCCAAACCUCUGAGGUUGUCACAAAUUUCCAUUUCUGAUGCUGUGCAAAAGGUUUGUGGCCCCGAAAUCUGCAUUUGAACAAGCAUCACGAGAGAUUCAGAUCCGGAUUAUGUAGGGACUAUGAUUUGGAAAACACUGCUCCAUUACACACAGAUGUGUCUACAGUGGGACUGAUGAGAAAUCAAUGGAAUGUGGCCCCGUGAGGAAGCCCAUCAUGUUCCAAAGCCAGGCCAGUGAAUUAGAAUAAUUCCCUGAUUGGUUUGGGGAUUCUGGAGCAGUCCUGACUGUUUCUGCUUUAUAGUCCCAAAGGAGAUGCAGUAAGGGGAAUGCUAAUUAGGUGGGUAACCAAAGCACUAAACUGGCCCUCCUUUCUUCUCUCUCUAAUGUCUUCUCCACCAGCUUUCGGAGUCCCAGAAAGGACCAUUCACUUUUCAUAACCAUAUACUAACAAAUAAAACGCCUCAUGUUGUCCACAGGUUAAAAGAAUAGAUGAGUUUCUCCAGUUAGCUUCUUGAUGUCUAGAAACAAAGGGCUGAAUUCUGCUGGAUCAGAGGCAGGAGGAGGAGAUGAGUCUAGGCAGGAGUCAGGAGCCUCUACUGUUACCUGGGGAAUCAAGAAUAAAGGUCAACACUAUCACAAUGUUUCCAAGAACUUGGCCCGACUCCUUUCUCCCCUACCGAGAUAGGAAAAGCAUUCAAUUAAAAAGCCCCUUUGGGGAGUUCCCACUGUGGUGCAGUGGGUUCAGAAUCCGACUUCAGAGGCUCAGGUCACUCUGGAGGUGGGGGUUUGAUCUCCAGCCAAGCACAGUGGGUUAAAGGAUCUAGCAUAGGUCAUAGCUGCUGCUCAAAUUCAGUCCCUGCCUAGGGAACUUCAUAUGCCACAGGUGCGG